GGGAGAGAAGAGCCCAGGCUCAAGAAUGUCCUCUCCCAUUCCGAACCAAACUCCAACUCCAGGGAUGCUCCUGGGGAAGAAAAUAGUAAAGAGAUAGAAAAGGAAAUACUCAUGGAGAAGAAAGGAUUCUCUCUAAUUUUCCCAUACCCGAGGAGACUGUCAAGCUUCUCAAAGCUCAAAGCUUGAGGGGUGAACUACCCAUUUUUUCUAAAAGCCAAGACAUUCCAUCAUGUAUACAGUGAGACAGACUUCAUUGCCCAGGCAUGGACAGUAAGCAGGAAGACCUUCUCCUUUGCCGUCCCUUUGAUUGGGUAACUUAAAGGUGGACUACAAGAGAGGAAGA
rnacentral:lncRNA from 1 species